rnacentral:misc_RNA from 1 species
GAUGAAGAACGCAGCGAAAUGCGAUAAGUAAUGUGAAUUGCAGAAUUCCGUGAAUCAUCGAAUCUUUGAACGCACAUUGCGCCCCCUGGUAUUCCGGGGGGCAUGCCUGUCCGAGCGUCAUUACAACCCUCAAGCUCAGCUUGGUGUUGGGCCCCGCCGCCCCGGCGGGCCCUAAAGUCAGUGGCGGUGCCGUCCGGCUCCGAGCGUAGUAAUUCUUCUCGCUCUGGAGGUCCGGUCGUGUGCUCGCCAGCAACCCCCAAUUUUUUUCAGGUUGACCUCGGAUCAGGUAGGGAUACCCGCUGAACUUAAGCAUAUCAAUAAGCGGAGGA